GCGCCGGUAGUGUAGCGGUUAUCACUGAGCGUUCCCAACGCUCAAAUCCGGGUUCGAUUCCCGGUCGGCGCA
rnacentral:tRNA from 1 species